GACGUAGGGCGCGAGCGUUGUCCGGAUUUAUUGGGCGUAAAGAGCUCGUAGGCGGCUUGUCGCGUCGACUGUGAAAACCCGUGGCUCAACCAUGUGGUCUGCAGUCGAUACGGGCAGGCUAGAAUUCGGUAGGGGAGACUGGAAUUCCUGGUGUAGCGGUGAAAUGCGCAGAUAUCAGGAGGAACACCGGUGGCGAAGGCGGGUCUCUGGGACGGUACUGACGCUGAGACGCGAAAGCGUGGGGAGCGAACAGG
rnacentral:rRNA from 1 species